rnacentral:rRNA from 1 species
AGCGGCGGACGGGUGAGUAAUGCCUAGGAAUCUGCCUGGUAGUGGGGGAUAACGUUCGGAAACGGACGCUAAUACCGCAUACGUCCUACGGGAGAAAGCAGGGGACCUUCGGGCCUUGCGCUAUCAGAUGAGCCUAGGUCGGAUUAGCUAGUUGGUGGGGUAAUGGCUCACCAAGGCGACGAUCCGUAACUGGUCUGAGAGGAUGAUCAGUCACACUGGAACUGAGACACGGUCCAGACUCCUACGGGAGGCAGCAGUGGGGAAUAUUGGACAAUGGGCGAAAGCCUGAUCCAGCCAUGCCGCGUGUGUGAAGAAGGUCUUCGGAUUGUAAAGCACUUUAAGUUGGGAGGAAGGGCAGUUACCUAAUACGUGAUUGUUUUGACGUUACCGACAGAAUAAGCACCGGCUAACUCUGUGCCAGCAGCCGCGGUAAUACAGAGGGUGCAAGCGUUAAUCGGAAUUACUGGGCGUAAAGCGCGCGUAGGUGGUUUGUUAAGUUGGAUGUGAAAUCCCCGGGCUCAACCUGGGAACUGC